GACGCCUCCUCCCGAGUCCUGCUCGCUGCAAAGCCCCCGGGGAAGGAGGAGCAGGAGCCUGGUGCACAGGGAAGGGGGCUGCGUGCUCCACGGACUGCUGCAACGACACCCCACCUGCGCCCAUGCUGCAGUGUGUGCAGCGGGGUGCAUGCUUCAUUGCUUCGUGCAUGUCGGAUGCAUACUUCACAAACUGCAGCAAUCCCCCUUCCCCCCUCCCGGGUUUGCAUGGCUGCUAUUUCCGUGCUUAAUUGGAUGAACUAUUCACCCCACCCUUCGCAAGCUCCAGCUUGCUUCAUUUGCGGCAGCGAACUCCUUGUAGGCUAGGUGCAUGCUUUGUGCUUGGAUCCCCCACCGCACCCAGCCCUGUGCAAAAUGGGGCGGCGAGGUAUUCACACUUCAUGCGCUGUCUGUAGUGACACUCUCCCCACUUCCUUAUUUGCAGGCUGCGCACGAGGUUGGGGCUUCUUGUACAGGAACAUGGGUGACAGAGGCUGCAGUUUCCCUCAAGCGGCAUUAAAAACUCCUCGGAUCUCGGAUUAGCAAGAAGAGGCCACUUCACCCACGUGGUGAGCUGGGAGGGUUCAGGUGGUGACAAUAAGGGUGACGCAGGGCGCUACACAGCCGGUCUAAGCGAGGCAGAUGUGUCACAGCAGACGGGACCUGUAGCCCCAGCUGACCCAGAGGGGAUUAACUGGCCUGGCAAACCCAGUCUGGAAACCGGCACACCUAGAUGGAGCAUGGAGCCAGCCAGACUUUGACAAUAGGUUGGGAUCUCCUGGCCUGGGGAAACACCCUCAGCAAACAGCAGAGGAACAUUGGAUCAAUACAGACAAGGUGGCACCUGUCCUUGGAGUCUCUCAGCCGAAAGUGCUUGGUAAACAUGUUAAUAGAGUCUCACAACAUCCCCUUGGGAAGGUGAGUUGCAUUGGGCUGGCUGGGACUUCACGAAACAGAGACAUUCCCUGAGCUGUGUGGUUAUUAAAGAUCCCAUGAUGCAUUGCACCAGGGCAGCAGUUGAGCCAAGGCUCAGAUUUUGCAGUGUGUUGUCCAUGGGCUGCCUCCUGGCAGGCACGCUCCACCCUAGAGGGGGUGCAUGUCGGUGGUGGGGGACGGGUGGUGUUACUCAGCGUGGCCACAGUCUUAAGGGCCUAAGCACUUUUUGCUCCCUGCUGUGAGCAGCACUGUACAGGAUCGGGCCCAUGGAGCGAGCCAGUUCCGUCACAUUCGUUCCCUUCCACCCAGGGCAGAGAGGCCAACUUUGGAGCACGGCAGAGGCACCUCAGUGCGGUGCACCUCAGAGGCACCUCAGCGUGCUCUCCCCCACCCAAGCCAGAUGGGAAGCUGGGAAUUCCUAUUACAGGCUGGCUGGGAUCCCUCGCCUGCCCUGGAACAAGGACACAGCCCCGUCCCACAGGAGGGAUGGAGCUCGAAGCUGUAAAACGGCACCUGUGCUGAUGGGGUUCGGGGAAUGACGAUGGCCCUUGGCCCUUCUCUAGCACCAUCCUUCCACGGCUCUCAGAGCGUCGCACCAACAAGAAUGAAUCAGCCCCAGGGCUGGGUCAUAGCGAUGGCCCCAUUCGACACGGGGCCACCCGAGCCCGGAGAGGGGAUGUGACUUACAUGAGGUCACCCCACGAGUCAGUAGCGGAGCCAGGAACAGAACCCAGGAGUCCGGACGCCCAUGGCUUAAAAUGGUCCAAAAAAAGUUGGGGGGGGGGGCGGGAAAGAAUCAUUGUCUCCGGCAAGGGAAGUGACAUUGCAUCUGCCUACCCCCCAUCAGUUCUGUGCCCCUCGCACCUCAGCUCCUCGGGCAGCUGCUGGGAUUCCUUGCCCCCCAGCCCUUCCCAGGUGGGUGCUGCAGGGAGAGGAGCCACCCGGUCCCCAUUGCUCCCAGGAAGGGAGCAGGGAGCCGACUCACCCUGCACUGAUGGGCUCUUUACCUCCCUCCUCUCCUGUGAGAACAGUGGGGGCUCGUGAUUGCACCGCCUGCCUCUGAUUGGCUGCACUACCCCAGGGGGUGGGGCAGUUGGGAAGGCAGCCAAUCAGAGGGGGUUUUCCCGCAGGCCCGGCUGAAGUGUGCACCCCUCAGUGACUCAGCUCCAGUUGUAGAAACGUUAUUUCUCAUGGUCCUUGUGAGCUGGUGCCCUUAAGGCCCUGCCAGUGCCCCCGUCCUGUACAUGAGCCACACAACUGCCCGCCCUGUGGUAACCAAAGCACCCUAACACACCCAGCCGAGGCUGCAGGGCCCCCUCAGCCCUUGGGCUCCAAAGGAAGAGCUGACACGUCUAAAUGCCGUUAUUUGCAGUUAUUGGGCAUCUCUGACUUAAGCUAUUUACCUGGGCCAGGCUUUUCAAAGAGGAGGCCCUAAGUGAUGUCCACAGGAGCUGCCAGUUCACCCAAAAUCCUGGCACCAAAGGUGGGCGCUGAGCCCUUGGAAAGCUGGCCCUGGGCUCUGCCACGAAGACAAGACACCCAGCCUGUGUCAGACGACGCAGUCCUAAUCCCUCUGCCAAGCUCCCAGCAUCACAGAUGGCAGGAGAUCCCUUCCAGCUGGAGCUCAAGGGAAAGGUGACUUCCCCCAACCCCCAGCUCUGAUCCCAACCCCAUAGGGCUGGACCUGCCGCAAAGCAGUGAGGAAUUGGCCUGGAGAGCGUGUUGAGCCCAAUCUAGCCCCAUGCACUUGCUGGGCUAAGAAUGAGCACAGUAAUAACAAGGCCUAACUGAUAUAUAGCGCUUUUAAGCCAAGGAAGUCAGUAUCAGAUGGAGAGAUGGAGGCACAGAGCGGGGAAAUUAUUUGCCCACAGUCGCCCAGGAGGCCAGUGGCAGAGCCAGGAUUACACCCAGUUUCCUCAGUCCCAGGUGAGCACUUUAUCCGCUAGACUACACUGUUUUGCACAGUGCAGCAAUUGCAGCUGGGACUGAGCUGUUAGUCCAGCUCCCAAGGCCAGUGCAAGAUCGUUCCUUGCAGCGUAUCACCCUGGGCAUUUUUUUUAGUCUAGUUUAGAUUCAAAGGCUCAAGUCCUGCGGCUCCCACCACGUCCUCUGGGAUGACUGCACCCCCUCCCAGUCUGCACCAGGAGGAAGUUUUUCCUGCUCU